UGCGACCUAGGGAGGCAGCAGUGGGGGAUAUUGCACAAUGGGGGAAACCCUGAUGCAGCGACGCCGCGUGAGUGAAGAAGUAUUUCGGUAUGUAAAGCUCUCUCAGCAGGGAAGAAAAAAGACGGUACCUGACUAAGAAGCCCCGGCUAACUACGUGCCAGCAGCCGCGGUAAUACGUAGGGGGCAAGCGUUAUCCGGAUUUACUGGGUGUAAAGGGAGCGUAGACGGCAAUACAAGUCGGAAGUGAAAUACCCGGGCUCAACCUGGGAGCUGCUUUGGAAACUGUAUGGCUGGAGUGCUGGAGG
rnacentral:rRNA from 1 species